GGCGGUUCUCCGCGCGGCGGCACCUCGCUGAAUCCUCCAGGGCCGGAAGGCAGCAAAGGCAGGCGGGCUCUACCGGGUGCGCGGAGAGCCGCUCUU
rnacentral:SRP_RNA from 1 species